rnacentral:rRNA from 1 species
GAUGAACGCUAGCUACAGGCUUAACACAUGCAAGUCGAGGGGCAGCAUGGUCUUAGCUUGCUAAGACUGAUGGCGACCGGCGCACGGGUGAGUAACACGUAUCCAACCUGCCGUCUACUCUUGGACAGCCUUCUGAAAGGAAGAUUAAUACAAGAUGGCAUCAUGAGUCCGCAUGUUCACAUGAUUAAAGGUAUUCCGGUAGACGAUGGGGAUGCGUUCCAUUAGAUAGUAGGCGGGGUAACGGCCCACCUAGUCUUCGAUGGAUAGGGGUUCUGAGAGGAAGGUCCCCCACAUUGGAACUGAGACACGGUCCAAACUCCUACGGGAGGCAGCAGUGAGGAAUAUUGGUCAAUGGACGAGAGUCUGAACCAGCCAACGUAGCGUGAAGGAUGACUGCCCUAUGGGUUGUAAACUUCUUUU